rnacentral:misc_RNA from 1 species
GCUCUUUUCAAUCAUCCAUCCAGAAAGGACUAAAUCAAAAGAACAAUACAACAAAUUAUUAUUACACAAUAGAAUUUGAAAUCUUAAAUAUCUCUAUUAUUAAGAUACAAUCAUACUGUGACCGCUCAUUUGCAUCAGCAACUUUAAGAAAAACAAACGUGCGAUUAUGCAAAAUGACAAACAAAUUAUUUCAUUAUAAUUCAAGCUGCCUGUUAAAAGGAUUAAUAAACACAAAGGCUCUUCAUUUCCUAUAUUGCAAAGUGGAUAACAGAAUCCAUAAACAAGCCAUUCAUUUCUUUCUCCUUAAAUUUCUAAUUCAAUCAACAACACAAAGAGGGCUUUGAUUAGCUUCCAUAAACAAAAACAAAAAGAAAUUGAUUGGCACACUAACCUGAUGCAAAAU